UACGUAGGGUGCAAGCGUUAAUCGGAAUUACUGGGCGUAAAGCGCGCGUAGGCGGCUCGGUAUGUCGUGCGUGAAAUCUCCCGGCUUAACUGGGAGGGGCCGUGCGAAACUGCCGGGCUUGAGGUCAGAAGGGGAAAGUGGAAUUCCGGGUGUAGUGGUGGAAUGCGUAGAGAUCCGGAGGAACACCAGCGGCGAAGGCGGCAUCCUGGACUGGUCCUGACACUCAGGAGCGAAAGCGUGGGGAGCGAUCCGG
rnacentral:rRNA from 1 species